GUUCUAGUCUGCUGAUGCUUUGUGUUGUUGUGGGUCUCUGGCACAGUAAUACACAGCCGUGUCUCCAGGCUGCAUAUUCUGUCCAUUUAGAGUCACUGUGUUGCUGGAGGGGUCCACAUUAAUACUGAACUGGUUCUUCAGUGAGUCUUUGUAGUAAGAGAUGUCAUCAGCCGCCAUCCCAAUCCACUCCAGUCCUUUCCCAGCAGGAUGCCUGACCCACGCUGUGUAGUAGCUAUCCACAGAAUAAGACACCCGACAGUCGAUGCUCAGCCUCUGACCAGACUGCAGAGUGACAGACGGUGGCUGGGUCAGCUCUUCACACUCGACACCUGCGGAGGAAAAGUUAUUAGAUAUGGGAUGUAACGGAUCUAUGGUCAUGUGUGCCUCAGUGACACUCACAGGAACCUGCAGCCAGCAACAGCAGCACAACUACACGGAACAUGGCAGAUGCUGUCACGGCCAGGGCUUAUUCCAAUGCGCCCUCAUCUGUGUGCUCUGCUAGUUGCGCCUCCAAGAGCGCACCUCGGGACACGCCCACGACCGCACACUUCCAGGAGCGCACCAGGCGCGUGUCCGCACUGCUGCAGCCGGCAGCUGCAAUCAUUCACCGGCAAUCAGCGCACCUGAAGCUGAUCAUCAGAGGACUGCCUUCAAAAGCCUGCUCAACCUGCUAUCCGGGGCCAGAACGUAAAUCAGCUGUUCGAGAACCUAUACUCCAUCGCCUUGGAAGUGAGCUGUGCGCCUCACUUCCCUGGACCCCCUCUGGAUUCUGACUGCCUCCCUCGAUCCUGGACCCCCGCUCUGGAAACGGAUCUGUUGACCCCUCAGACUACAUGCCUGUUUUACGGAACUCCGAGAUCUGCCUUGUCCCUCCUCUCGUUCAACAUUACGACCAAAGCUGCAGAGAUAAUCCACCAGAGACUUCAUCCCUCCUCUUUGACAUACACACAUCAGCAAGUGAUCACAUUUGACACUCAACAUACGCACACUCAAUAAAGACAGCAUACAUACAUACAGGUAAAAGCCAGUAAAUUAGAAUAUUUUGAAAAACUUGAUUUAUUUCAGUAAUUGCAUUCAAAAGGUGUAACUAGUACAUUAUAUUUAUUCAUUGCACAGACUGAUGCAUUGAAAUGUUUAUUUCAUUUAAUUUUGAUGAUUUGAAGUGGCAACAAAUGAAAAUCCAAAAUUCCGUGUGUCACAAAAUUAGAAUAUUACUUAAGGCUAAUACAAAAAAGGGAUUUUUAGAAAUGUUGGCCAACUGAAAAGUAUGAAAAUGAAAAAUAUGAGCAUGUACAAUACUCAAUACUUCACAGUAAAAUCCCCAGUGUUAAAUAUGCAGUGUCAACAUGAAUUACAUCUAUCAGAGUUAUUACAACAACAGCUGGAGUAAAACGCCCCCCAGUGUUGGUGUUGAUUUCCAUCGUUAAACGAGACAGUGUUAGAGGUACUCUGAUUAGCCCCGCCCUCCAGCCACUCCUCGU